GCAUAUUGAAAUAAUUUCACAAACUCGAAUAAGUUAAGUAAUAAUUUUUGUUGUUGCAGUGGCACUAAAGUGUGUACUAUAAUUUUAAUGACCGUCUACUAAAUCUUUGAAUGUUUGAAAUCCGAGAUGACAAGUUACUUCCUUGAUAUCUGUAAUGGGCGAUAAAGAAAACGAUCAAUGGAAAUUGAUUAAGCUCUUCUUCUGAACUCUUUAAGAUUAGUACGAAACCUGGUUUCUGAAGUGGGCGCUGUAUUGGGGGGCCAGAGUAUGAGACUUUUAUUUGAAGGUAAUAGGAAAGUGCUUGACUAUAAGCCUGGUUGUCAUUGGAUUGAUUCAGAGUUCGUUGUGCGUUAUGGACUUGAAAUAUCAAAAGAAAAAGUUUGUUCUAAUAGCGAUCGAACCUUGGCAGGCAAUUUGAGAGCUCCGAGUGGACUUUUGUUAUCAAAAAUUUUCUAUAAGAACCAGUUGCUAAGCAGCAUAAAAGUGUAGGUUUCUUCAUUUGCGGGGACAUAUUAAGGCGCUUAUCUUAUCUGCUAAGGACUCAACUCGACUUGAGCAAUCCUCAGCGAUGGUGCAUGAAGCCGUGUCUGGAUUUGAAUAGUAAGAAACGUUUUCAUUGAUCAUUGAUCAUUGAUCGAUGCGUCAGUAUAUUUCUAACACAUCCCUCACCAUUUCUAAUAUUCAACUAAAAGAUCUUAAUACAGUGAAAUCAAGCUGGCUGGGUAAAAAUAGAAGGCUUCUUGUGGGAAAUUAAGGCUUAUCUGCUCAAGUAGAACUGGACAGUCGAUGAUGCCAUUGGUAACACUGAAAAUAAACAAAACUGAAAGACUGUUCUUCUCUGUUGAAAGAAUAAAAUUAACGUAAAUACUGAAGGAAAAUUUCGUAUGGAAUAAACCUCCAAGAUCCUUCAACUCUGUUACGCUUUGUAUAGGGUGAUCGAUUUAGAGGUAGUGGAUUUUGAAUUGAA